rnacentral:rRNA from 1 species
AUGGAAGAGGACGAAAACAACACUGAUCCCACAGAAUGUGUGAUUCUGGAUAGACCCCCUGAGAAUUUCAAAACAUCAAAUACAUCAACAGAAGUUGAGCUCAUCUCGCGGUCAUUUAUUCUUUCACCGUCUGUCAGCCCAAGAAACGAUGAUUUAAUAGAUGAACUUUGCUUGUUCAUCGGUAUGGUUGAUGAUGUUGCUCUACUAGAAAAAGUUGUCUCAAUUUUCGAUCCGAUACCAAUACCUACUUUCGGGAAGAAUGUACUUAAAACCGUGGUCGACAAUCUAAACCUUGCGCUUGAAGUUGCAAACCCUGGAUUCAAGGAUGAUAUCUCUAAAUGGGAAUGCAUUGUUCCUGUUGCUCCAACAUACUCACACUGUGCAUUGUCUGGUUAUUUGGUUUUUAAUUACAUGCACUCAUUGUGCGAUGGAAAGCUACAUUUUCCCGUACCUCAGGAUGGUUUUCAACCGAGGAAGCAAUUUUUGGUGCAUAUUUUAAAGUACGAAGACAAUGAAGCUCAAAACAAUAUCCCAUACAUUGAACGAAGCAUCAUUGAUCGCAUUUAUAGAUGGACCUUCAUUGCUUCAAAAGAUGGACCUUCAAGACACGCUUAG